CCCUAGAAAAGAGACGGUUAAGAACGCAUGUGAGAAGAAAAUCUAGAGGGCUCUGGAGUUGCCAGAGAGCCCUCGGGAAAGAACAUGAUCUCCAGUCUGAGGUGACCGGAAAAUGCUUAAAAAAAUUCCCUGCUCCUCCCCCCGCAUACACUCUUCCAUCCCAGUAUUCGACAGACAGACAUCAUACAAACGAAGUGAACGUUAAGACGACCUGGCAACUUCUACACGGAAUUUAGGGGUCGUUUUCGAAGCAGCAGAAGGGGAGCAAUGUUUUUAUGUGGUCGUGGUUCUUUAACAUUAGGACUGCACACUGUUCUCAAGAAAAGGACAGAGACAGGGGCUCUUCAAAGGCAUCCGUCCAAUUGUUUUUACAAGACCGACUUUCAGAAGGCAGUCACUCCGGAGCUUGCUUUCCUCAGGCGGUGAACAGGAAACGCCUUGUAGAACCCUAGCUGGAGUCGAACACUUUCCAUAACAGGAUGUAUAUUGCGAGGAUGCGCCCCUGACUUCAGGGAUAAAGCUAAUUUCUUUCAACGACACUUUAAAAAGCAAUUUUUUUUAAAGCAUCCGGCCUGGACGGUGGAAGACGCCCCAGGGCCCAGAUGGAGCAGGAAGAUUAGGGUUGCCAGAGGCGGAUGGGAAACCUUCGAGGCCCCCCCCUCCCCCGCCCAUCCCCGCCAACGGCCCCGCAGCGCCGCGGAGAUCUCCGCAGUUCUGCAGGUGCCAGCACAGCAGCUGGAGCUCGAGCCGGGCCGAGCGGGGCGGCGGCUUCGGGUCCCGCGCGGCGCUCGCCCGCCCCGCCCCCACCGGCCGCUCCCUGCGCCGCGCGGGCUCGGCCCACACAGCGCGCCGCCCGCCCGCCCGCCCGCCCGCCCGCGCGCCCCCUGGAUCCCGGCACGCGGAGGACGCGGGCUGACUGCGGCGCCGGCGCUCGCCCCAGGGCCCCGCGCGCUCCUCCCGCCCCCUGGGCGCAUGGCGGCCGCAAGCGAACAAAGGCGCUUCCUGGCGCCCGCACUAACCGUCCGUUGGGGGGUUUGAAUCCGGCCCCAGUUUGACCUUUCUAGACGUCAGACAGAAAGCUCUCUGCGCUCCCUCUCUCCCUUCCUUCACUUUCUCGCCUUCCUGUGCACUGGGCUGUCGCUCAUCCCGGACCCAACCUCCUCCAGCCAAGCCCCCGAGGAGCUCCUCCACCUCGGGAACUGUGCGUCCGGCCCUCAACUCACUAGAGGAAGCCCCCCUGAGGAGAAUGGGGGUGGGGGAGCACCUGCGACACAACCGUCGCGGGCAUCCCUGGCCUCUUUCGCGCCAUCCCUCUGGCAGAAACCACUCCUUGAAGGUGUAAGGGAGGCGAGUUUCCUUUCUUUAGUCAAUUCGCUCCAGUUUCUCCCCUCCACAGGCCCAGCGGCGGCAGCUCAGCGAUGCACUCACCAUGCUGCAAGCGCUACCGGUUUCCGAGACGCGACCACACAACCAGUCAGCUCGCUCGCUCCACUCGGACUAAUUCUCCUCCUCCGCCCCCAGCGCCUCAUAAACACCUCCCUCCAACAGAUCCCUCCGCCGCAUCCAGAUAACGGAACAUCGCAAACGAGUCCCGGCCAACCCCCUCCCCUCAAACUCUUCGCGGGACCCCUUUCUUCACAGUUAUUUGGUCGAUGAGGCAAGAAAUCAAGGAAAGUGGACGAACGGAUGACGUAAGUGGGUUUUAUUUCCCAGCGAGCCGUUAAAAGGCCGGUGGAGCGGCUCCUGAGGGGCGCUACUUUGCGGCGCGGAAGAGCAUCGUGGCGGCGAUGCGUAUCCCGAUGGUCGUUGAGUCGACCUCUGAUUGGCUGGUUUGUACCUGCAAUGCGUCACUCGAGCUCGCAGCCGCCGCUGGGACGGUGCGGCUUCUGGCGUUGCUGCUCCGGCCGCGCUGUCCUGGUAACUGCGCCAGGCGGAGAGUCGCUGGAUUUGCGCUUGGCUGGAGAACCUUCCUCUUCCACCUAUCCUUCCCUGCCACACUCAUGCACUUUCCCGCCCCUUAUUGAGGGGUAGACGAAAACACCUUAAGCCGAUAAAGAAUGAAGCUGAAAGAUUCCGAUAAACACGAACCCUGAACAGCUUUUUAGCCUAGUGUUUUGGCCUCAUGGAAGCCGCACGUUUUUCAUUUCACCCACUCACAAAACCCAUGUAAAUCUGGAUACAGGCAAAUGUAGCUGUUCAGCUGACAGGCUAA